rnacentral:rRNA from 1 species
GACAGAGGAGGCAAGCGUUAUCCGGAAUGAUUGGGCGUAAAGAGCCUGUAGGUGGCUGUUCAAGUCCGCCGUCAAAUCCCAGGGCUCAACCCUGGACAGGCGGUGGAAACUACCAAGCUGGAGUACCGUAGGGGCAGAGGGAAUUUCCGGUGGAGCGGUGAAAUGCGUAGAGAUCGGGAAGAACACCAGCGGCGAAAGCACUCUGCUGGGCCGACACUGACGCUGAGAGGCGAAAGCUAGGGGAGCAAAUGGG